rnacentral:rRNA from 1 species
CGGGCGUCUUAACAUGCAAGUAGAACGCUGAAGAGAGGAGCUUGCUCUUCUUGGAUGAGUUGCGAACGGGUGAGUAACGCGUAGGUAACCUGCCUGGUAGCGGGGGAUAACUAUUGGAAACGAUAGCUAAUACCGCAUAAUAGCAGUUAUUGCAUGAUAACUGUUUGAAAGGUGCAAUUGCAUCACUACCAGAUGGACCUGCGUUGUAUUAGCUAGUUGGUGGGGUAACGGCUCACCAAGGCGACGAUACAUAGCCGACCUGAGAGGGUGAUCGGCCACACUGGGACUGAGACACGGCCCAGACUCCUACGGGAGGCAGCAGUAGGGAAUCUUCGGCAAUGGACGGAAGUCUGACCGAGCAACGCCGCGUGAGUGAAGAAGGUUUUCGGAUCGUAAAGCUCUGUUGUAAGAGAAGAACGGGUGUGAGAGUGGAAAGUUCACACUGUGACGGUAUCUUACCAGAAAGGGACGGCUAACUAC